UGGGGAAUAUUGGACAAUGGGGGGAACCCUGAUCCAGCCAUGCCGCGUGUGUGAAGAAGGCCUUAUGGUUGUAAAGCACUUUAAGCGAGGAGGAGGGUACUGGUAUUAAUACUACCAGGUACUGGACGUUACUCGCAGAAUAAGCACCGGCUAACUCUGUGCCAGCAGCCGCGGUAAUACAGAGGGUGCGAGCGUUACUCGGAUUUACUGGGCGUAAAGCGUGCGUAGGCGGCUAAUUGAGUCGGAUGUGAAAUCCCCGAGCUUAACUUGGGAAUUGCAUUCGAUACUGGUUAGCUAGAGUGUGGGAGAGGAUGGUAGAAUUCCAGGUGUAGCGGUGAAAUGCGUAGAGAGCUGGAGGAAUACCGAUGGCGAAGGCAGCCAUCUGGCCUAACACUGACGCUGAGGUACGAAAGCAUGGGGAGCAAACAGG
rnacentral:rRNA from 1 species